rnacentral:misc_RNA from 1 species
AUAAACGCCAUAGCAGGAUGAAGAAGAGAAAUGUUGCUGUUAGUGGCAAUGAGAAAAACUUCCCAGAAACAAAAGAACCAUGUCAUUUUCGGUGCAUAAAUUGUGGUAGAGGCGCUAGCGAUCUCUUCAAAGACUAUAAUAAUGGAAUUAUAAAGAUGAAACACUGUGAAGAGUGCAGGGAUAUCAUAGACAAAUACAUUGAAUAUGACCCAGUAGUCAUCAGUUUAGAUAUCCUACUCCUCAACAGAAAAGCACUGCGUCAUGUCCUAUUUAACAGCCAGAUCAAGGGCUACUGGAAGUAUGUCAUCUUAUUAUUAGUUUGCGAUUCAUUUGUGAAAAUGACACUUCAGCGAGCUAAAGGGGAGAUUACCCCUGUCAAUCCAACCUAUAUCAUUUACUCUGCCAUGGAAUUCGGACUUUAUAAGAAUUUUUUACUUGCUGCUGUUGAAUUAACGUCUCUGAUUCUGUUCAUCAGUUUCUUGGUGUUGAUGCUCUCUAUGAUGCCAACAGUUUCAUCUGAUAGAAGAACUGGUGUGAACAAACAUAAACAAAGCUGGAGAGACAUGACUGAUGUUAUGCGAGCAGUGAUACUUUCUAAUUUUGGCAAGUUUUUGGUGAUCUUGGCAGUACUGUGGGGUACCCAGAACAGCGACAUUAUAUUCAUCUCAUCAAAACCUACAUAUGUGCUGCCAAUGUACAGGCACUUAGAGUCUGCCUGCCUAGUAGAAGUAUUUGGUUUGUGAUGGCAGUAACUUUAGCUGGACAUUUUUUAUCAAUGAGUGUGACUCAUUCCAUUCAGGUCAUUCUGUUUGGAAGUUGAUAAACUAAUGAAAAAUUAUUUCCAUUAUGGACAAAAUUUUAAAGAGAAUCAAAUGAAGAGAAGACAGUUUCAGACCAAAUGGAUUAAUGAAGUACCGUAAUUAUGAUACAUGUAUUAUCAGUUCAUUUCAAAUGCAUUGCAUGGGUUGAUUUCUUUCAUACUAACUGUUGAAAUUUAUUUAACACUUGUUAAACAGUUUUCUAUCAGGAAACAAGUAAUUACAAAGAGAAUAGCAAAGAAUUGUUUCCUUGCCUAUUGUCACAUAAAUUACAUACUGUAACACGAUAUGAUAUGUAUUCUAAUUGAGUACUAAUAGCUGAUAUAUGCACUCAGAAAAUUUGAUCUUUCGAAUCCUGCAAAAUUACCGGUAAUCAUAAAUUUGCUGUUAUUAUAAAAUGAGAAUUGAAUUAUGAUUCCUGAUAGAAAUACAAGACUUAUACAAAUUUCCGAAAUGAUUUCCUGUGUUUAUUAAGUCAUAUAUAAUGCAGUCAUUGAGGUGAAUGAUAUGCACACAAUUUUUAUGGAAGUUUAAAAUGUUUAAGACUCAAAAAUGGUUUUGAUGCUCUACAUCUUUGUUUGGGAGACUUAUUGAUACCAGUGAUCAACCAUUUAAUACUUUAUUACCAUUUCUGUUGGCUAUUUAAUAAAACUUUUUGUAUUUU